AGUAGAUCCCCCCCCCCCAGUUUAAUGUGGUACUCACAUUCACCUAGCAGAGGACAUAUGGAGAACGGUACAAUUUGGUUGCAAAAUGAAUGUCAAGAGAUCUUUGCCUGAUCAGAACUCCACUAUGCUAAGAGCUCUACAGGUGAAGAGGCAAAGCCAGUCCAUGCCCCAAACAGCUUACAACUUUGCAUAAGACCAGAGGCAACAA